rnacentral:rRNA from 1 species
UACGUAGGUGGCAAGCGUUGUCCGGAUUUACUGGGCGUAAAGGGCGUGCAGGCGGUUUGUUAAGUGCAGGGUGAAAGCUCCCGGCUCAACUGGGAGAGGUUCUUGCAUACUGGCAGACUUGAGGGAGGCAGAGGAAAGUGGAAUUCCCGGUGUAGUGGUGAUAUGCGUAGAUAUCGGGAGGAACACCUGUGGCGAAGGCGGUUCUCUGGGCCUGACCUGACGCUGAGGAGCGAAAGCGUGGGGAGCGAACAGG